AUACGUAGGUGGCGAGCGUGGUCCGGAAUUAUUGGGCGUAAAGGGCGCGUAGGCGGCUUUGCACGUCAGUAGUGGAAGUCCAUUUCUCAAGGAUGGAAGUGCUACAGUAACUGCGGAGCUUGAGUGCAGGAGAGGUUAGCGGCAUUCCCGGUGUAGCGGUGAAAUGCGUAGAGAUCGGGAGGAACACCAGUGGCGAAGGCGGGUAACUGGACUGCAACUGACGCUGAGGCGCGAAAGUGUGGGGAGCAAACAGGAUUAGAUAACCUGGUAGUCCACACUGUAAACGAUGAAUGCUAGGUGUAGGAGGUAUCGACCCCUUCUGUGCCGCAGUAAACACAGUAAGCAUUCCGCCUGGGGAGUACGGUAGCAAGAUUAAAACUCAAAGGAAUUGACGGGG
rnacentral:rRNA from 1 species